rnacentral:rRNA from 1 species
AUUGAACGCUGGCGGAAUGCUUUACACAUGCAAGUCGAACGGUAGAGGGGGCAACCCCUCGAGAGUGGCGAACGGGUGAGUAAUAUAUCGGAACGUGCCCAGUCGUGGGGGAUAACGUAGCGAAAGUUACGCUAAUACCGCAUACGAUCUAAGGAUGAAAGCGGGGGAUCGCAAGACCUCGCGUGAUUGCAGCAGCCGAUAUCAGAUUAGGUAGUUGGUGGGGUAAAGGCUCACCAAGCCAACGAUCUGUAGCUGGUCUGAGAGGACGACCAGUCACACUGGAACUGAGACACGGUCCAGACUCCUACGGGAGGCAGCAGUGGGGAAUUUUGGACAAUGGACGCAAGUCUGAUCCAGCCAUUCCGCGUGCAGGAUGAAGGCCCUCGGGUUGUAAACUGCUUUUGUACGGAACGAAAAGGUCUCUCUUAAUACGGGGGACUCAUGACGGUACCGUAAGAAUAAGCACCGGCUAACUACGUGCCAGCAGCCGCGGUAA